UAUAAAAUUUUCACUAUUGGAUUAUCGGUUCGGGCCUCGGUUUGCCAAUUUAUUAAUGGGUUAACCGAUAACCCAAUAAGAAUUAAUAAAAUUAUGACUUUACCCUUAAGUAUAUACAUACGUCUAGGGCUUCAUUCUCUCAUAUUCCCUCUUAGCCGCACUCUUCGGUUCACUAUCUCAAAGUUUUCAUCUUCAGAGACCUUACUCCUAGCGUAAGUCUUAUAUAAUAGGCUUCUAUAACAAAAUUCAUCUUCAUCUAGGGAUUUUUGAUUGUUAAAGAUUCUUUAUUUUGUGUUCAUAUUUUAUGAUUUUUAUUUUCGUUUCUUAAUUUUGUGAAGUCAUGUUGUGCAGCAUAUACCUACUACCAGUUUCUCUUCGCACUUAUCAAUUCUCAAUCGACAAUCUUCAUCAGUUUCGGGUAUGUUUUUUAUCCUCUUCAAUCUACAUCACUUUAAAUUUUUUAUUUUUUCUCAUUAUUUUUUGGGUUCACUGUUUUUGGGUUUCUUAACUCAAUUUUUAGGCUGUUUUGUAUUUAAUUCGAGAUAAGUACAAAAAAUUUGAGAAAAUUCUUGUUUAUUAGUGUUCGAAGUUCUAAAUUUAAUUCUUUUUAUAUAUAAGCAUUUGGGUGUUUAUUAACAUCUUUUAGAAUUUGGACAUGCAUUCUUUUACUGUUGAUUCUUCUAUUUUAUUUUUUAAGAUUUUGUUGGCUCGCUGCUUGAUUUCUUUUAAAUUCAAACUCACAGUGACACAAACGCAUGACUGAAAAUAUCAUAAUUGAUAAGAUGAUUGAUGAAAGUAGAGCUUCUAAUUCAAAUACGACGACACAAUCUCAAUCAGUUCAGUCGACGGUAUGGAAGAAAAGAAAAAGAGGUCUCGUGCAUGGGAUCAUUUUGACCAAAUUAUUGAUUCUGAAGGAAAUAAUAAGGGUGUUUGUAAAUAUUGCAAAAGAGAAUAUUUUGCUGACACAAAAGAUAAUGGUACGAAAGCACUGCUUACUCAUAUGGAUAAUUGUACGAAAGUACUGAACUUGUUGUUGACAUUCCAUUGCAAUAUGUGGAGGUAAUGAAUGGAAUUUUGCUGCUACUAAUUGUUAUCAAUAUAUCAUUAUCAUAUGUUUUUGGUUAAUUCAAGUUAGUGUCGCGCUUAUCAUAUGGUUGUGGUUGUUUGUUGUUUGUUGUUCCACUCCUAAUUAGCAAACUACAUUUUGACAUCUUAUAUCUAAAGGACAAAGACAGUAAGAAAAUCUUCAUCAGCUGCGAGCUUCAGAAGAAGUUUUGAUCUAAUUAGCUACAUUUUGACAUCUUAUGUCUAAAGGAUUAAAACAGUAAGAAAAUCUUCAGUUGCGACUUGCGAGCUUCUGAAGAAGUUUUGAUCUAGAUUGAGUUAUUUUAUCGGGUAAACUGAUAACCGAACUAAUAACGGUUGAUAAUCGAUUAACCGAUAAUCGAUAACCGAUUUUUUAUCGGUUCGGUUAUCGAUUUUGCAUAUUGAUAAACCGAUAACCGAUAUGUAAAACCGAUAAUAUUCAUAACCAAACUGAACCGGACGAUACUCACCCCUACCUUAAAGUCCCUCAAAAUUUAAAUUAUUUUCUUUCAAAGGCCGAAUAGAUGCUCUUCUUUUGUUUAACUUGUUCUAGGCAAAUCUACUCAGAAAAUUGAUAAUAUGCUAGAAUUACAUGUAAUUGGAUAUAUUUUACCCCUACUUUGAUAUUUUUUUAGUGUUUUGAAUGUUGAAAGAUGAACAAUCAGCUUAAUUAUUGAAGUUUGUUAUGUAGGAAGCCAAGAGUGAAGAAUAGAGGCGAUUUGAGCAAUAAUGAAGCUAAAAGGCAAUUUUUCAAGAAAAGAAAAAUUGGACCAGGCAGUGAAGUAACUUCAAAAAUUACAGGAAAAGCCCAGAAAAAUUUGAAAAACACAACCAGGCCCUGUGCGAAGCACAUCUAUAGCACAAGGGCAAAUUUGCCUGCGUUUUAUCUUGAGGGGCAACUUAGUCAAUUGGCUUAGGGACGUGAUAUAAAAGCUUUCAACCCUAAUUGAAGCCACACACUUGACCCGAGAAGGCAAGAAACACCAUUAUUGAAGCAAAGUUGAGCCCGAAAGAUCCUCAAGUUUAUUCAAGAAGACGAAUCGAAGAGUUUCUCUCUACUUUUCUAUCUUUAUUUCUAUGAAUAUUGGUUUGACAAUGGUUUAUGUAUUUUUGAGUAGUGUUAUAAGUAGCUAAACUCUAUUAUCUAAGGUGUGAUGGAACCUAUUGGAAGAUGAUUUUCU
rnacentral:lncRNA from 1 species